rnacentral:lncRNA from 1 species
CAAAACCUGAAGAGUAAAUAUUAUGCUAUUGAAUGAAUAAUGGGUUGUGAAAGACAUCAAAGAGGAGAUUAAAAAUUAUUAGAGGUUAUGGCUCAGUGGCAGAGUGCUUGCCUAGCAUGUGUCAGGCUCUGGGUUUGAUUCUUAAAACUGCUUAUGAAAAUAAGUAAAAUAGACAUGAUGUCCAUGUACAGCUACACAAAAUCUAAAAUAAUUUGAAAAAUUCUUAGAGUUAAAUGACAAGACACAACAUAUCGAAAUGACACUGACACAACAUAUCAAAAUCUCUGGGACACUGUGAAGGCAAUACUAAGAAGAAAGUUCAUUGCAUGGAGUUCAUUCCUUAAAAGAAGGAAAAGUCUACAAAUAAAUGCCCUAAAAUUAAAUCUAAAAGCCCCCCCCAAAAAAGAAGAACAAAACAAGACCCAAAGCAGUAGAAGACAGGAAAUAAUUAAAAUCAGAUAUGAAAUCAAUGAAACUGAAACAAAAGAAACAAUUGAAAAAAUUGACAAAAUAAAAAGUUGAUUCUUUGAAAAAAUAAAUAAAAUCCAUAAACCCUUAGUCAUGCUUAUAAGGAAGAGAGAAUAAACUCAAAUUUCUAACAUCUGUGAUGAAAAAGGAAAUAUCAUGAUGAACAUAACAGAAAUACACAAGAUAAUUAGAAACUAUUUUGAAAAUUUGUACUCCAGUAAAAUAGAAAAUAUCAAAGGUAUUGACAGAUUUCUAGGGUCAUAUGAUUUUCUCAAACUGAUUCAGGAUAGUACUCACAAGUUAAAUAGAUAUAUUUCAAGGAAUGAAAUAGAAGAUGCCAUCAGAACCCUCACAACCAAGAAAAUCCCAGGACCAGACAGAUACCAGCUGAGUUCUACAAGACCUUUAAAGAAUUAAUACAAAUACUCCUCAAACUAUUUCAUGAAAUAUAAAAAGAGGGAGCACUUGAAAACUCAUUCUAUCAUACCAGUAUUAUCCUGAUUCCAAAAUCACACAAAGACACAUCAAAGAAAGAAAGCUUCAGAUUUCUAUCUCUAAUAAACAUAGAUGCAAAAAUUCUCAAUAAAAUUCUGGCAAAUAAAAUACAAAAACAUAUUAGAAAGAUAGUGAACUACAAUCAAGUAGGGUUCAUCCCAGGGAUGUAAGGAUGGUUCAACAUAAAUAUAAAUUUUAUUCAUUAGACUUUAUUCAUUAUAAAAUGUAAUUUAUUACAUCAAUAGACUUAAAGAUAAGAGUCAUAUGAUCAUCUCAAUAGAUGCAGAAAAGACAAAAUACAUCACUCCUUUAUGUUCAAAACACUAGAAAAACUAGGCAUAACAGGAACAUUUUCAAUACUGUAAAAGUUAUCUAUGCUAAGCCACAGGCUAACAUCAUUCUAAAUGGAGAAAAAUUGAAUGCAUUUCCUCUAAAAGCUGGAAGAAGACAGGGAUGCCUUCUUUUUCCACUUCUAUUUAACGUAGUUUUUGAAAAUAUAGUCAAAGCAAUUAGAUAGAUGAAAUAAAUUAAAUGGAUAUGGUUAAGAAAAGAAAAACUCAAACUAUCACUGUUUUCCAACAACAUGAUUGUAUGCUUAGAAGAUCCAAAAAAUUCCACCAGAAAAAUUCUAGAACUAAUGAAUGAAUUCAGCAAAGUAUCAGAAUGUAAAAUCAAUACCCAUAAAUCAAAGGCAUUUCUUUACAUCAGUGACAAAUCAUCUGAAAGAUAAACAAGGAAAAUCACCCCUUUUACAAUAACCUCAAAAUAAAUAAAUAAAUAAAAUUCUUGGGAAUCAACUUCAUGAAAGAGUGAAAGACCUCUAAAAUAAAACUACAGAACACUAAAGAAAGAAAUUGAAGAAAACCUCAGAAGAUGGAAGAUCCUCCCAUGCUCCUGGAUAGGCAGAAUUAAUAUUUUCAAAAUGAUUAUACUGCCAAAAGCACUAUACAUAUUUCAUGCAAUCCCAAUCAAAAUUCCAAUGACAUUCCUCAUAGAAAUAAAAAAAGCAAUCAUGAAACUCAUCUGGAAAAAUAAGAGACCCAGAAUACGUAAAGCAAAUUUUACCAAGAAGAGUGAGGCAGGUGGCAUCAUUAUAUCAGAACUUAAACUAAACUAUAGAGCAAUAGUAACAAAAACAGCAUGGUAUUGGCACCAGUGGUACAGAAUAGAGGACACAGAGACAAACCCACAUAAAUACAGUUAUGUCAUACUAGACAAAGGAGCCAAAAAUUAUACUGGAGAAAAGAUAGCCUUUUCAUAAAAUGGGGCAGGGGAAACUGGAAAUCCACAUGCAACAAAAUGAAAUUAAACCCCUGUCUCUCACCAUGCACAAAACUCAACUCAAAGUGGAUCAAGGACCUAGGAAUUAAACCAGAGACACUGCACCUAAUAGACAAAAGUAGGUCCAAAUCUUCAUCAUGUAGGAUCAGGCCCUUAAUUCCUUACUAAGACUCCUAUAGCACAAGAAAUAAAAUCAAGAAUCAAUAAAUGGGAUGGAUUCAAACUGAAAAGCUUCUUAUCAAUGGGGUGAAUAGAGAGCCUACAGAAAGGGAGCAAAUUUUAACCACAUACACAUUGAUAGCGCAUUAAUAUCUAGGAUAUAUAAAGAACUCAAAAAAUCUUAACAACAAAAAUCACAUAAUCAAAUCAAUGAAUGGGCCAAUGCAUUUGUUAAUACCUGAUACAUAAUACAUUUUAGUCCUAAGCACAGAUUAGCCUAUUGAUUUGAUGUCAGAUUUAAUGAUUCUAUUUGUGUGUUAUAUAUAAUAUUGGGGUUUGUUUUGAUGUAAUCAUACAAGCAUAAAAUAUAAUUUGCUUCACUUUAGUCCCCAGUGCAUCCACUAUCCCUCCUCUCCUCCUUCCCCCUGUUCCAUUUCAUUUAAUCUAUUGGUGUUCUAUUUAUUUAUAGCUGUUUAAAUUAGUUUUUGUAGAUGUACAUAAAGGUGAAAUUCAAUGUAUGUAGUACAUCACUUAUGGACAUAGCAUAAUUUGGCCAUUUAAUUUUAUUUUUUCUCUCUUUCCCAUUCAUCUUCCCUUCCCCUCAAUCCCCUUUUUCUGCCCCACUGGUCUCCCUUUCACUUUCCUGGGAUUCCACUCCCCUUUUUACUUCUUAGUUUGGUAUGGCUUCUGUGUAUGACAGAAAACAUUCAACACUUGUCUGUCUGAAUCUGGUUUAUUUCACUUAUCCUGAUGUUCUGUGGUUCCAUGCAUUUCCUACCAGAUGACAUAAUUUCAUUAUUCUUUAUGGCUGAGUAAAACUCCAUUAUGUCCAUUUUAACAUGUGUGAGCUAUUCCUCAUGUAAGCAGAGCAGGUGGAAAGUCCUAUUGGAUUUAGUCAUAACAUAAUCUCAGAAAAACACAUUUUUUAUAACAUAGAAACAUAUUGUUUCCAUAUGAAUGUGUUUCCAAAAGAAAAUAAAAAAGUUUUGGGGGUUUGGGUGGACCAAAUAAAUUGUUUAUGGUCAUAAAAUUAUACUCCAAACUUUUCUUGUUGAAUGAAUGUUGUUUUACAUGCAUUCAAAUCUUAUCAUAUUUUGCCAGUGAGAAGUCCACAUUUUCAGGCCAGUGUCAGGAAUUCCUGGGGAUUUACAGACCAGAGGGAUGGGAAGAGUUGUCUGGGGUAGGUAUAAGUUUCUACAGAAGAUUGACACUAAGAACAGAUAAAAGAAGAAUGACCUGCUUGUGCUGCUUAAAUUUCUACACUUUCUGUUGAUUUUUAAGAACUUUGAAGUUUUAUCACCUAAUCCUUAAUUCUUCAGACCAAGAAGACACAGAAUAUUAGAUAAUGUUCCAAUUAGAUAGUCCAUCAUAUGGUGACAUUAGAUAAUAAACUGGUUUUAUUUCCAAACAGCCAGGGGAUGUCUUUCAUCACUAAAGUGAUGGGGCCUCACAGGUAGCAAUGACACCUGUUACAGAGCUGUUCCUCUCUUAGCUGCCCAGACUCGAUGUCUACCCAUUUAAUUAAUCAUCUAUUCACCAAAAAAACAGGAGGCCAUAUAUUCUGACUUAUCACAAAGGUAAAGCUCGAAUCAUAUUUUGGUGUUCCUAGAUCUUGUAUCUGCUCUGCAAUUGCAUCAAGGUGUUUGGAGGUCUAUGUGUCUAUGCAGGCAGCUGUUGCAGGCCACUGUUUUCUUUUUCUUUCUUUUCACAUCCAUUGGUUUGGGACAUGUAGACUUUCCAGAAAACAUGAACCUCUCUUUUGUCAAGAAUUUGGGUAACUUGCUGUGUAUUGCAAUAUUCCAUCAGGGACUGCACAGCAACAUGAAAACAUACUGGUGGGACCAUCAGCUCCAUCUUGUCUAUGUCCCAUCUCUCCUUGAGAGGCCAUCUUCCCAUCAGAAUUAGUACAGAAUGGCCUGAAAGUACAGUGAAGGUGACUGACUGACACAGAGACAACUUUUCUUGGUAUAUUAACAAAGCAGGAAGAUGGAGUGGUCACCAAAGACUCCCGAGAAAGGAUCAUGCACAACCACAACAAUCUCACCCAAUUCAACUCAGGCAACUUUUCUUGAUGCCAGGAGUAAAACCUUCUGCUGGAGAUCAGGCUACAAUGGUGGAUAAUACCCAGACUGGGCCCUUGAGAAGCUUAACAUCUGGUUCAGGGAAACAAGCAAUGUGCUAGAAGAGUAGAGAGGACAAAAAUGAAAAUGUGUGCAGAGCACAAAAGUUGCUUCAGAGGAAUAAAUG